AUAAAUUAUGCAACAUCUUUUAAAGGCUUUCAAUGAAAUAGGAAGUUAAACCAAACUACAAAUUCGAACCAGUAACAACUCUGGUAUAUUAGAAAGCCGGCCGAAGAGUUAGGUGUGUGUUUGUAUUCCCACGUAAUUCUCUCCGUACAGACGAUGCAGGAGGAUCGAGUUCAACGGCGAAAACACCAGGAUGGUUCUCUCACAGUGAAUAUCUUACCAGACUUUGCAGCUCUCUAACCCACGGGAGAUCAGCAGAGACAAUCGGCGCAGGAAGGAACCAACCCUGGGCAGGCGCCAACAAACCACAGGGUCAAUUUAGCCUCACCAGUCAACCUAUCCUGCAUGUUUUUGGGCUGUGGGAGGAAACCAGAGCGCCCGGCGAAAACCCACAUGACCCACACCGAAAGGACGUUGGAUCGAACCCAGAACCUUCCCGCUGUGAGGAAGCAGUGAUAACCACUGCUCCUUUCUAAUAAUAACCAAAAAGGACUUAAAUUGUAGUAUAAAUUGAAAUCGAGAUCGCACACUUUAUAAGGUAAAACUCGGGAUUUCCAUCUAAGAUUUACUCCGCUAAAAUGCAAAACGACAAAAUCUGUCCGCUCCGUCACUAUGGUUAGUAAAUAUAACCGUGAGUCUAAAAUGGAAUUUUCAGUACAUAAACUUGCUAUGUCCUAAUGGUGUGACAUUUGCAGGCGAUUCGUCCGAGUGAAACGAGUCCCUUACAUGAUCUGUACUUUCACAUUCACUUCCCUUCAAAAAUGUGUUUUUCCCGUUCUUCAGCUCAUCCUCUGAAAUAUGACGUGAAUGCUGCUUCUGUCCUCGACUAUGACCAGUGAGAGUCAGUGAGGGUAGAUGUCUCCCACCCCUCGGACCAACUUCGUCCCCUUGCUUGAAACCUCUGCACAUAGUUGGGUGGAUUUGUCAGAAGCCUGUGACACCACCGUUUCAUCCCCAGAGCUGAAAUAAAGCAUCCGGUCCUCUAAUCUCAAAUGCCUUUGCUGGUGACCUGCUGUCUUUUCUGCCCCAGGCUGACCUUGAAUGUCUGACGUAUCCGUCGUGAAGUCUGAAACGUUUAAGACUUAAACUUCAACUGGCGCCAUGUGUAUUUUAUCAAUUAUGUUUGAACUCGUACACGUAGUUAAUAUUCAGGAGCAAAUGUUUCCUCUGUGCUCUUAAGUUCAGCUUUUUCAAGAUUUUAAAAAUCAUUUUGUUCAUGAAUUAACAUUACGUAAUGUUUGAUUUUUAGAUUUUCUUUUUUUAAUCUGUUUAUCGUGCAUGUAAGUGCAUUGCCUGUCAGUGGCACCAGUAAACAUAAUGCCAGUCUGUACCUA